AAACUCUGGAGAACUCAUUGAGUUGGGUGCCGAAGGUGCAAGGCCGCAAGGGCCGAAUCUCUCAGGCGAAGGGACAGAGAC
rnacentral:ncRNA from 1 species